AGGAAUACAUAUGGGAUGCUUCACAUUACCUGGUGCAUCAGGUUUUCAGCAGCUUGAAGGAAAUGUUCACUGGGACGAGGGAGAUUCAGGACUGGCUGACAGAGAGUGCUAGACUAAUAUCUAAGUCGGGGAGAACGGUGGAGUGGGUGACACCACUGGGACUUCCUAUCAUUCAGCCUUACCACAGAAUGAAAAACCAAAUGGGUCUUGAACAGGAACCAAAUUAAUUCAACACAACAAUUUCCCUUUUAAGUAUGAAAUGGUAGGUCCUCUCAGUUUGGAGAACUACCACUGUACUUUCUCAGCAGAAUUUAGCAGAAAGUCCUACCUGUCUCCACACAGCAGGCGCACUGCCCUGCCCUCCACCAUGACCUGAAUCCCAGUAGCACUGCUUGUUAAAAAGGUCUAGUGCAGCUGGGAGUGAAACAAUGGAGUAAUGUGGUGGAGGUUUUGCAUGCUGACGGCUUGUGCUGCUGUCAGAUAGCAUCAGCAACAUAGCUGAGGUGGCACAGCGGUGGCCUGUAGUGCAUGGGGGAAUCCAGCAGAGUGCAUCUGGCAACCCGUCUGUUUCACAGUUGCUUAAAAUUUGCUGUAGCUGCUGGCCUAAUACCACAUUUAAAAAAACUAAUAA